AAGAUAAAAUCGUUCUGAAAGCGGCACUUAAUUGGUAACUAAAUGCCCUACAACUUUAUCCAUUUAACCAAUUUUCAAUCUCCUAUAGUUUCCAACAUACCCAUACAUGUACAGCAUACGUUAAAAUACAAAUAUGCCCAGCCAAUCAGAGAAAUUGAGAGUGGAGCAGCACUGCUGAUCCUUUCGUGAAAGUUCGUACGUCAAAUUUCGUUGCCGAUUAGCUACGGAAAUUGAAAAAUCAAGGCAUUGGUUUUGUUUAACUCAUAGAGAAAUAAAUAUUAAAUUUUAAUUAUACUUUUAAUUACUCUAUGGUUUAACUUAACCUAUAUUGCAGAUUUUAUUUGCUUUGCUUGCUUCCUAAUAAUUGAUUUAAUUAUCAACAAUUAUAUCAACUUUGCGACUAUUUGAGUGAAAAUUCAUAGUAUAUAGUGUUGAGUGUUUACUCCAUUAUCUAUACAAUCCAUAUCUGUGCUGGUUUUGGGCUCAAAAACAAACAAUUUAGUGUUUGAGUUUCAUUACCUUUCAAUAAACUUGCCAGUGUUUCUUAGUGCAUAAUUUCCUUCCACUUAAACCAAUAUUUGCACUUAUUUGUUGCUGUCUGUUAGACAAUUAUGGCAUCUAUGGAUAUUCACCAUAUAACUGUCAAAGAAUCAAUUUUAAAUUUUAGAAAUUUUGAAGAAUUCACAUCUUGGAGGGCACAAGAUAAUAGGGAAGUAGAUUAUGCUUGUCAGACCCGAAACAAGUUUAAGAAUGGAGAAGAACACAUAUUUUACAAUUGCAACAGGAGUGAUAUCAGGAUUUAAUAGCGCGUGCAAAGUGAGAAGUCUGGGGGAAGCAUUCGCAUUUAAGAAACAUGUCAACAAGACCAAACUCAAAUAGCUAUCAGCAUAAAAUUGUAAUAGAAGCCCAUAACAAAGCAGAAAAAAUGAAUGGUAAGGUAGAAUUUUUGGAAUUUGGAAAAUUUAAAGUACAAAGUGUUUCGGUAAGUGGUAAGUUCUAUGUUGUGUCUUGUCAUGAACUAUGUGAUGAGCAAUGUCGCACUGGAUACUGUAACAUCUGUAAAAUAUGUUUUCAUAAAUACAGAUGUGAGUGUCCAGAAAAUUCUGUCUAAACAGUACUUUGUAAACAUAUACAUGCUGUAGCCAUUUUUGAGCAGAGGAGCGAGUUUGUUGUAGGUUCCCCAACUGUGAGUGAAGAGGAAGAGGAUAAUGUUUUGUUUGUUGAUCAACCCACAACUAGCCAAAUCAAUUAUCAGGAGGAUGUAAACCAUUUUAUUCAGGAGAGUUCAAAAAUGAAAGUCAAUAGUUCUGCAAUGGACUUUGAAGAAAAUCGAGAAGUAGUUUGAGUAAAAUAUAAGUUACAUUUUUAUUACAUCGUUUAUACUUAUUUUAAGAUUGCAUUGCAAGAGAUUUGUAGUUAUGGUAGAAGUUUAGAUAAAAAUGCAUUUGCCAGAUUUAUGGCUGUAAUCAACAAAUUUAAAAAUAAAGAAGUGGAGGAAGAAAAUUCUCAGGACAUUGAAAAGAAAAGAAAAAUUGAAAAACAAAUGUAUCUAUCCAAAUAAAAAAUAAGCUAGAUUUCUUUGUGUAUUUAAUGGCUAGGGUGCAGAAAAGCUAAUUGGAUUAACUUGAAAUUGGCAUCGAACGAGGGGGAAGAUCCUCUAUGAGUAUAUAUUUAUGAAUUAAAAUGUAUACAGAGCAGUAAUUUUUUUCCAUGUUACUAUUGUAUGGAAGUUUGAAUGGUUUGGGCUGUAUAUACAUGACGAGCCGAGAUGACAAAUAAGCUAAAGAAGUGCGAGUCUACAUACUACAUACUAUAUACCAGAUUAAUACAUUUAGCCUCUUUGCAUUUAAUUUUGAGG
rnacentral:lncRNA from 1 species